ACAUCUUGAUGAGUGACCAGCAGGGCGGCUGGUGGAGAGAUGUGGCCAGCAGGGAGGCUGGAGGAGAGGCACUGCAAGCAGCCGGCUGGUGGAGAGGGCCAGAGCAGAGCCCUACAGAGAGGUGUGGCAAUCGGCCAUUGGGGCGACAAGGUCCUGGUGUUUGCUUGGAGCUCCCACAGAUCCAGCUGGCUGGGAGUAGGAGGGUUUUGAUAACCUGUAUGUCACUAGGGCGAAGAAUAUAGUGGCAGGACUACUGCACCCAUGUAAUCCAGAAGGAAAGACUGCUCCGACAGUGACAAGCUGCAAGCAGGAGGCCGAUUGACAAGAUGAUUGCCCACUACAGCAUCAACGCUACCCUGUCCCCUGAAAAGAAGAACAGCAUGUAUUUCAUAUCCCACCAGCCACUCAUUCCUGAACACUCUGCUCCGCAAUGAUGAGAAGGAAGAUGGUGAUGACGCUGAACCAUACAAAUGCUCUGUCUUGCAAACCAUCAUAGAAGAACAGAAAAUAACAGCAGUAAGCGUUGAAGAUGUCAAGCAUGCCCAGAUGAAGACCACAGAACAUCCAAAGAAGCUGGACAGUCUUCACUGGGGACUCAGCGUUAAGAGUGGACAAAACCAUUCUGCAGGACAUGAAGUGAAGGCAAUGUAUGUCACUGAUAGACAGAAUGGGAUUCUGCCAACUCCAGGGAAGGAUCUAUUGGUUAUGAUACACAUUAGUACAAAUGACACUGCUUCAGAAGAACUGUGCAGAUCAUUGAAGGCUUCCAGGAUCUUAGAAAGGAGCUGAAGAAGAGGAAAUUUCAGGUGAUUUUUUCUGAGAUCUUUACUGCCCCAAGAAUGAGAGAAGAUAGACAGCAGAAGGUACGGGAGAUAAACGUUUGGCUAGGUAAGUGGUGUAAAGCAGAGGGUUUAUUGGAAUACUGACCAUCUUCUAUGGGAAGAGGAGGUCUCAUACCACCUCCAUCUCUGUUGAAGAAAGGCCAGUCUUCUGUGUAACAUCAAACCAUGUAGCCAGGAGGGCUUUAAACUAGCUUCUAAAGGGGAAGGUGCUAAUGGUAAUUGUAUGGGCUACUGUGUAUGUUUAAACAUGUACCUUGAACUCAAAGUAGCAUGAAUGUAAAAGAAUCAAGGGAAGUAAAGAGAAUACAAUCUUCAGUGGCCUACAUGCUAAUGCUAGAAGCCAGGAAUUACAAUUGCUCAUUUAUGAAAAGGAAUUUGAUGUGAAGCCUGGUGGGAGUCACAUGACUGGAAUGUUAAAAUCAUGGGAUACAUUCUAUUAAGGAACAAGAGAGUGGGCAGAAGGAGAGGUGGGGGGAGGAAUCUAUAUUAAAAAUACCAUUAUUUGCUAUAGAAUUAUGGAUACUUCAGAAGGACAGGAAUAUUGAUGGAUCAAUGUACUAUCUGAUAACCUGCAAUCUGGGGUCUGCUAUAAACCACCAAAUCAGACAAGGGAACAGCACAAUCAGCUCCUGAAACAGCAGCUAUCUAUAAUGUGUAGAAAGAAGAAUUGCGUUAUGGGGGAUUUCAAUC